AAAUUACUGGCCUCGUGUCGAAAUUUGAAACAAUUGUUAUGGUUAAGGGGAUAGUAUGUUAUCAACUUAAUGCGACAGUCCCAUAAAAGGGAAGAAUGCUACUGUUAUUUAGCCCUAGGAAACACCGUUUCCUGUUGGACUUGACACAUUUCCUGUGUCCUUAUGUUUUCAAA